rnacentral:rRNA from 1 species
GAUGAACGCUGGCGGCGUGCCUAAUACAUGCAAGUCGAGCGAACAGACGAGGAGCUUGCUCCUCUGACGUUAGCGGCGGACGGGUGAGUAACACGUGGAUAACCUACCUAUAAGACUGGGAUAACUUCGGGAAACCGGAGCUAAUACCGGAUAAUAUAUUGAACCGCAUGGUUCAAUAGUGAAAGACGGUUUUGCUGUCACUUAUAGAUGGAUCCGCGCCGCAUUAGCUAGUUGGUAAGGUAACGGCUUACCAAGGCGACGAUGCGUAGCCGACCUGAGAGGGUGGUCGGCCACACUGGAACUGAGACACGGUCCAGACUACUAAGGGAGGCAGCAGUAGGGAAUCUGCCGCAAUGGGCGAAAGCCUGACGGAGCAACGCCGCGUGAGUGAUGAAGGUCUUCGGAUCGUAAAACUCUGUUAUUAGGGAAGAACAAAUGUGUAAGUAACUAUGCACGUCUUGACGGUACCUAAUCAGAAAGCCACGGCUAACUACGUG